UUAACGCUCAACUCACUUUCUUGCUCUUCCAACCAAAACUACCAACUGCAAAAUCGACCCAAAAACAAUUCUUGUUGAAUUCUUGAUUUUUUUCUCAACAAUUUUUCUUCUGUUAGCUUGGAUUUCCAAGAAUGUAGAAUGUGCGGUUAAUCACUCCAAAGCUCCUUCAAAAUAAACAAAAAAAGUAAUACACAGAUUGAAUUAUUUUUGUGAUUAUUGGUUGAAAUUGGGACUAGACUACGAAAAGGGUCAAGAUUGCAUUGCCUCAGAUCCUGCUAUCAGAUUUGGCAAGCUUAUUCGAGACGCUGCGAUUCGAUGCUGCAUUUUAUGUGUUCAUCCGUUUGCCGUGUAUCUUGUGUGAUGUUUGUUGAGUA